rnacentral:rRNA from 1 species
UGAAUACGAUACGCUACGGCGUCGAAGCAGUCGAUGUCAUACUUCCAAGAAAAGCUUGCAAUGUCAUAAACAAAUAAUGCCUGUACCAUAACCGACACAGGUGGGUAGGUAGAGUAUACUAAGGGGCGCGAGAUAACUCUCUCUAAGGAACUCGGCAAAAUGACUCCGUAACUUCGGGAGAAGGAGUGCCUUAUUUAUAAGGUUGCAAUAACAAGAUCCAAGCAACUGUUUAUCAAAAACACAGGUCUCCGCUAAGUCGUAAGACGAUGUAUGGGGGCUGACGCCUGCCCAGUGCCAGAAGGUUAAAGAAGUUGGUUAGCAUCCGCGAAGCUGAUAACUGAAGCCCUGGUGAACGGCGGCCGUAACUAUAACGGUCCUAAGGUAGCGAAAUUCCUUGUCGGGUAAGUUCCGACCCGCACGAAAGGCGUAAUGAUUUGGAUACUGUCUCGGAGAGGGACUCGGUGAAAUAGACUUGUCUGUGAAGAUGCGGACUACCUGCACCUGGACAGAAAGACCCUAUGAAGCUUUACUGUAACUUGAAAUUGAAAUUGGACUUUAUUUGCGCAGUAUAGGUGGGAGGCGUUGAGAAUAUUCUUGCGGGAAUAUUGGAGCCAUCAGUGAGAUACCACUCUUGUAAUGUUAGAUUUCUAACUUUGCAUCAUUAUCUGGUCAAAGAACAGUUUCAGGCGGGCAGUUUGACUGGGGCGGUCGCCUCCCAAACGGUAACGGAGGCGUACAAAGGUUUCCUCUGAACGGGUAGAAAUCGUAUCUAGAGUGUAAAGGCAUAAGGAAGCUUGACUGUGAGACCUACAAGUCGAGCAGGGACGAAAGUCGGUCUUAGUGAUCUGACGGUGCUGAGUGGAAAGGCCGUCACUCAACGGAUAAAAGUUACUCUAGGGAUAACAGGCUGAUCUCCCCCAAGAGUUCACAUCGACGGGGAGGUUUGGCACCUCGAUGUCGGCUCAUCGCAUCCUGGGGCGGUAGUACGUCCCAAGGGUUGGGCUGUUCGCCCAUGAAAGCGGUACGCGAGCUGGGUUCAGAGCGUCGUGAGACAGUUCGGUCCAUAUCCGGUGUAGGCGUUAGAAUAUUGAGAGGAGCCUUCUUUAGUACGAGAGGACCGAGAAGGACAUACCUCUGGUGUACCAGUUAUCGUGCCAACGGUAAACGCUGGGUAGCUAUGUAUGGAGAGGAUAACCGCUGAAAGCAUCUAAGUGGGAAGCCCACCUCAAGAUAAGUAUUCUC